GAAAGAAGAGAUAACAUACAAAAUUCCCCAUGUUUCUGAACAGAGGCACAAGUGCAGGGAAGCUGCACACAGCAGGAUGCUCAGAGAAGACCAGUGUGGUGCGGGGCCAGUUAACGGCAACGCUGUGGACACUAUAGGUGGAAGGAACCAGAUGAAACCUAUGAACUUCUACGGUAUUUUACCUGCUUUUUCCUUACUGCUUAUUCUGAUGGGGCUGGACCUGAACCUGAGUCGUGGAGCUAGUUAAUGACGGAG
rnacentral:lncRNA from 1 species